AACAGUCAUCAAAGCUUUACCCGUGGUAGCCAGCAAAAGGAGAGCAACCCCGAUGGAUGCCCAGCUCCCGUAGAGUGGAUACAUAAACCAUCGUGGGAUCUUCUGGUGAAUACCACACAGCAAUGAACAAGAACAAAGAGGGCACACUGAAGUUCAGAGAUGAGGUAGAGGCUGGAUCCAAUCUGUGACUGGCUGUAUGAACAGUCCCAGCACACCAGAGGUGAAGCCCACACGGGAAGGAAAAUGUAUCUGACCGAACAAGGGGACCACCGAACAGGAGCAAGCCAGGAUCCUGGCAGUCACAAGUAGCCCUCAGUCACAUACACACAAAGAGGCCUACAGACUGGACGCCCUGUGAUGUGAGAAGCUUGUCCAGCCCACUAGUGGCCUCAGAGUCUCCAUAUACCAUGGAAAGACAACAACCUGGAGCCGGAAGACAAGGUACCCUGAGUGGGAUUCCAGCCUCCUGAACUCACAUCCAGAAAGACACACUGUCUCAGUCAGUGCUCUGUUGCUGUGAAGAGACACCAUGGCCACGGCAACUCUUAUCAAAGAAAGCAUUUAGUUGGGGCUGAUUGGCAGUUUCAGAGGUUUAGUCCGUUAUCACCGGGGUGGCAAGCAUGGUGGCAUGCGGGCACACAUGGUACUGGAGAAGCAGAUGAGAGUUCUAUGUCCAGAUCUGCAGGCAUCGGGAAGAGAAAGAAACACUGGGCCUGGAGUGAGCUUUUGUAACCUCAAAGCCCACCCCUCAGUGACACACUUCCUCCAACAAGGCCACGCCUUUCCCAACAAGGCCACACCUCCCAACCCUUUCAAAUAGUGCCACUCCAUAAGCAUUCAAACACAUGUGCUUAUGGGGGUCAUUCUUAUUUAAAUUGUCACAUGCCCCAUGGGCAGUUGAGAUGUGGGGGGUGCGAUAUGGAGAGGCCUUAAGGCCAAGUGAGGCCAGUAACCAACCAAUCUCCCAGGCUAGCACUCCUGGAUCAGAGGUGGGGUAGGAGGAGUUCAGAGGUCACCUCAAGCCACUCCUGCCUCCACCCACCAGGGCACCUAAGCCGUCAGGCAAAGCUAGGCACAGACAGAGGCAGCACAAACCACCAACGAGCAUGGAGGAAUGGCCCUGGCAGAGCUGGAGGGGGCACCUGCAGGAGGAAGGCAGCUAACCCAGCCUGGGGCAGGAGGAUGGCAGCCUGUGCCCGUGUCCUCAUGGCCCUCUCCUUCAGGGGUGCUAAGCUGUGAUUCCGCUGUCACGGCCGCUGUGACAGCACCCCUGUAGACUACGAGGGAGAGGAUGGAGGUGAAGGUCACUUGAGUCGAGGCCCCUGGACAGGCGGCCCCGAACCCAGCAGAGCCUCCUUGGGUCCUGAAUGCCAACCAGCUGCCCUGUGGGUACUCAACCCAGCCCCUCACGCAGGUGGGGGCCCUGCUUAAUGAAAUCAAUAAAACACCGCCCUGCAAACCUGGCUGAGGGCCAGCGUUUUACAGCACACCCAUGCCGGGCGGAUGACCAAAUUAAGAACUGCCGCAGGGAGAGAGCGGAAGGGACGAGGAAUGGCUGAGAGGAGAAGAUGGAGAUUAUCGGGGGACUUGCAGAGGCAGGGUGGGUGUCAAGGACCUCCGCUCUCUUCUUCCCUUGUUCGGGUCGCCCCAAGCCCACAACGCGGCUGCAAGAAUGACUCUGCUAUCAGCGAUUUCCACCACCAUCGUGAGAAGUUCACAGUGAGAAACUAGACGAGACGUCAGGUACCUGGAUCUCUCUCAAUUUGGAGAUGAAGGAGCUGGGGCCCUGAG